rnacentral:rRNA from 1 species
AACGAACGCUGGCGGCAUGCCUAACACAUGCAAGUCGAACGAGACCUUCGGGUCUAGUGGCGCACGGGUGCGUAACGCGUGGGAACCUGCCCUUAGGUUCGGAAUAACUCCCCGAAAGGGGUGCUAAUACCGGAUAAUGUCUUCGGACCAACGAUUUAUCGCCUUUGGAUGGGCCCGCGUUGGAUUAGCUAGUUGGUAGGGUAAAAGCCUACCAAGGCGACGAUCCAUAGCUGGUCUGAGAGGAUGAUCAGCCACACUGGGACUGAGACACGGCCCAGACUCCUACGGGAGGCAGCAGUGGGGAAUAUUGGACAAUGGGCGAAAGCCUGAUCCAGCAAUGCCGCGUGAGUGAUGAAGGCCUUAGGGUUGUAAAGCUCUUUUACCCGGGAUGAUAAUGACAGUACCGGGAGAAUAAGCUCCGGCUAACUCCGU